GGCGGCCGGCAGUCGGUCGGCGGUCGGCGACGUGCCCGGGCGCGGGACGGUGACGGCGGCGAGCGCCACGCACCGACGCACGGACACUCGCUGCACGCGUGCAUACACAGCCGGCGCCCAUGUCGACGCGAGUGCAGCCGGUGUCGGCGGCCGCCGGCGGGAUGAAGAGCAAGGCGCCGCCGGUGCCGCAGGGCAGGCGGGCGGCCGGGUCACCUACGGGACCCACCGGCUCCAACGCCAUCCUCAAGGAGGCUGUCGACGCUGUGGUCAGCAGCUUCGCCAAGCACACGCAGGGCUACGGCAGAGUGAAUGUGGUGGAGGCGCUGCAGGAGUUCUGGCAGAUGAAGCAGGCGCGGGGCGCCGAGCUGAAGAACGGCGCCCUGGUCAUCUACGAGUCGGUGCCGGCGUCGUGUCCUCCCUACGUCUGCUACGUCACCCUACCGGGAGGCAGCUGCUUCGGCAGCUUCCAGAACUGUCCGACCAAAGCGGAGGCGAGGCGGAGCGCUGCCAAGAUCGCCCUGAUGAACUCCGUCUUCAACGAGCACCCGUCACGGAGGAUAUCGGACGAUUUCAUCGAGCGGGCCGUGGAGGACGCCCGCGCCACCUUCAAAGGCAGCCAGGACGCUGCAGACAACCCCAACACGGGCAUCGGCGCCUUCCGCUUCAUGCUGGAGUCGAACAAGGGCCGUACGAUGUUAGAGUUCCAGGAGCUGAUGACCGUCUUCCAGCUCCUUCACUGGAAUGGUUCCCUCAAGGCGAUGCGCGAGCGGCAGUGCUCCCGGCAGGAGGUGGUCGCCCACUACUCUCACCGUAACCUGGACGACGACAUGAGGUCGCAGAUGGCGCUCGACUGGAUCGCCCGGGAACAGGAGAUGUCCAACAUAAUCGCCCAGGAGCUGCGCUCCGCGGAGGAGGAGCUGGACCAGGCGCGCCUGGCUGGCCGCGAACUCCGCUUCCCCAAGGAGAAGAAGGAUAUUCUGAUGCUGGCCUGUGCCCAGCUCAACGGCGUCGACACCAUCUCCUAGAGAUCAGCGUCGACGACGACGGUGGCGACGGCGGCAGGGUGGCGGGUCACGUGAUCUCAGAGAAGGCCGACCCGCCGGCGCCGGCCGCCCGCGCGCCGCCGCCGCCGCCGCCAGCACAACAAAGUCCGUUCUUUCAGAUUUGUUUGAUGAGGUGUCGCGCCGCCGGCGCCGACUGAGCUGCUCUCCUGACUGACAAUAGUACGCCGGAGCUGUCAGCCACCCCGCUUCACCUAACCAUAGUGCCCCCGGACCGCCGCGCGACAGCAGCCAGCCGCCGCAUAUAGUGCUGAAUGCUGAUUAUAUAUACACAAACACACAUACACGCCCGACGCGAGACGAGAUUAAUCAAAGUGAUGUGUUACUGUUGCUGCAAGACGGCGCGCGCGCGAGAGAGAGAGAGAGAGAGAGAAGCGAUCGUAGUUUUUGUUUGAUGGUGUAAAUAUAUCAUGUGGCUUUAGAUGAACGUGCUCAUGUCCAAAGAUUUUUGCAGCACAAUCCUUUCGUUUUUCAAUCCCUUUCAGUCCAUGUAUUCAUCGUUCACAUGCAAAUUGAUUUUGGCAUUGUCUUCUUGUUUUGUUAAACAUGCGAUUACAAAUGGAAAUUACUCAGUCCGCUGCUAAGUAAAAAUCAUUAUAACGUAAAUCGUGGCACGAGUCGUUAGAAUGUGAUAUUGACUCAGUUUAGGUUGUUUGCUGGAAGUGCGACACGAGAACUCAGCUUCUAGAUAAAUGGUGGUUCUCUUUGCCUGCAGAUGUGUGCUGUUUAAAACACUAACGUAUACUACACGUCUGUCUGCUUUGCUUUCCGAUCCGAUCUGCUGAUUAUUCCCCCGAUACCGACGGCUUUGAACUGUACCCUCUGUCUGUGCUUCAGUAGCGUAUGCCCAACGUGAUUAUCGGUAUGUUGUGUGAACAGAUGCCACGGCCAUUUUAGUUGCAGUAUUUCUAGUGGCGCGGUUAAACUAAAGUAGUCCUCCGACUUAUGUUUGCUAGUAUGCGGGAUGAAAUUUGUGUCGGCUGAAUUGUUGCUCGCCGGGAGCUAUAACAUGAUAUUUGACUGCGCCCACGUGGAAACACCAUGCAAGGCAGGUGGAGCGUUGUAAUAAAUACCCGUGAUUGUAGUUGUCUGAGCGUGCGCUGAAUUCUCUGGUGCCAACUCCAAACGGCGGCGGCCCGUGGGUGAGUCUCGGCUCGGCCCUGUACAUACUGUGUAACGGUGCUCCGUCACCGACUGUAUUUGGCUCGUUCACAUUUCGUUUUUAGAGGGUCAAUAAAUGGAGCCACGCUCGCC
rnacentral:misc_RNA from 1 species